rnacentral:rRNA from 1 species
GACGUAGGGGGCCAGCGUUGCUCGGAAUUACUGGGCGUAAAGGGUUCGUAGGCGGUGCGGCAAGUCGGGAGUGAAAUCUCUGGGCUUAACUCAGGGGCUGCUUCCGAAACUGCUGUGCUUGAGUGCGGGAGAGGCGAGUGGAAUUGCAGGUGUAGCGGUGAAAUGCGUAGAUAUCUGCAGGAACACCCGUGGCGAAGGCGGCUCGCUGGACCGUAACUGACGCUGAGGAGCGAAAGCGUGGGGAGCGAACAGG